CCUACGGGUGGCAGCAGUGAGGAAUAUUGGUCAAUGGCCGAGAGGCUGAACCAGCCAAGUCGCGUGAGGGAAGACGGCCCUACGGGUUGUAAACCUCUUUUGUCGGGGAGCAAAGCGAGUCACGUGUGACUCAUUGAGAGUACCCGAAGAAAAAGCAUCGGCUAACUCCGUGCCAGCAGCCGCGGUAAUACGGAGGAUGCGAGCGUUAUCCGGAUUUAUUGGGUUUAAAGGGUGCGUAGGCGGGACCUUAAGUCAGCGGUAAAAUUGCGGUGCUCAACGCCGUAGAGCCGUUGAAACUGGGGUUCUUGAGUGAGCGAGAAGUAUGCGGAAUGCGUGGUGUAGCGGUGAAAUGCAUAGAUAUCACGCAGAACCCCGAUUGCGAAGGCAGCAUACCGGCGCUCAACUGACGCUGAGGCACGAAAGUGCGGGUAUCGAACAGGAUUAGAUACCCCAGUAGUC
rnacentral:rRNA from 1 species